CCUACGGGAGGCAGCAGUGGGGAAUUUUGGACAAUGGGCGAAAGCCUGAUCCAGCAAUGCCGCGUGUGGGAAGAAGGCCUUCGGGUUGUAAACCACUUUUGUACGGAACGAAACGGCUCGCUUUAAUACAGUGGGCUAAUGACGGUACCGUAAGAAUAAGCACCGGCUAACUACGUGCCAGCAGCCGCGGUAAUACGUAGGGUGCGAGCGUUAAUCGGAAUUACUGGGCGUAAAGCGUGCGCAGGCGGUUAUAUAAGACAGUUGUGAAAUCCCCGGGCUCAACCUGGGAAUUGCAUCUGUGACUGUAUAGCUAGAGUACGGUAGAGGGGGAUGGAAUUCCGCGUGUAGCAGUGAAAUGCGUAGAUAUGCGGAGGAACACCGAUGGCGAAGGCAAUCCCCUGGACCUGUACUGACGCUCAUGCACGAAAGCGUGGGGAGCAAACAGGAUUAGAUACCCUGGUAGCCCACGCCCUAAACGAUGUCAACUGGUUGUUGGGUGCAUUAGUACUCAGUAACGAAGCUAACGCGUGAAGUUGAUCGCCGUGGGAGGUACGGCCGCGAGGUUAGUAAACGUUAAAGGUAAAGUUAGACGGCGUGAGACGUGCCGACGGACGACGACGAGGGAGGAGG
rnacentral:rRNA from 1 species